GCCCCCGGGCUGGCUCGCGGUUCUGACCAUUUUUUUUAGGGUUUCAAGUUGAAACGUCUUUUCGAUCUAGAGUCUUUGACUGACUUCAUUUUCUCUCGAUCGACGACGGUUUUCUUUUUCUCUCUCGAUCUGAGCUUCGUUCCUCGCCUGCAUCCUCCUCCUUUCUCUGAUCCGAGCCUCUCUUGUCUGCGUCCUUCGACGUCACUCCGCGCCGUCUUCUUUCUCUUCUCCAUGUGACUCACCGACGGCUACUACAUUCUUCUGACUCUGAGAAACCCCACCUCCUGUGCCUAUCUAUGCAUUCAUCUUUAUGACUUCUGCAGAUUCUUUAUCCCUUCGCAGUCCACAUCGUUCUCUCUUUUGACCCUUUGCCGGAACUUUCUCCCGCCAGUGAUCUCUAUCUCUCUCUCGCCGACCUUGACGGUUUUUGUCCCUCCGGUGAUUGUUUCUCCGAGUCCUUCCUGUUCUCGCGACGAUGUCGAGAUUCAGGAUUGCAAAUGCCUUUCCCUUCUCGAGGUUCUUCAGGCAGCUUGAGCAAGAGGCGGAAACUGUGAUCAAUGUUCUGCAGCCUGGACCAUUAGGGAUCAUAGAACACAAGUUCUCGGCCCAGGAAAUUCGCGAGGCUAAAGCUACAAUCCAUAGAGCUGUGGAGAACUGGCGGAGGCAUGCUGAGCAAGAGACCAACAAUGGUGUCUUAAAAGACUACAUCUCUAAGUGAAGUCAAAGUCAACCCAUUUCAAGUAACCCACAGUUUCAGCUCAAGAAGACGAGAAAAGGGAAAGGUUCUGUCUUUGUAAUAAUAUAAGACAAGCCAGAUCUAGGAAUUUUCCAGAUACAUUCAUUACGUAUUUCUCAAACCCUCAGACGGGGGUUGAUGCUGCCAUUUGGCUCAGUUUCUGGUAGUUGAAAGGAGAAGCUCCGCCGGAGAGGCUGGAGCUCCUCUCAAGCCUCUCCUUCUCGACAAUGCGGUCAACAGGCUGUCUGUUUCACUGGUGCGACGGCAAGUUCUUGACCGUAUCCUCCUUGACCUGCUUUUGCUGGGCCUUGUUUCCUGCCUUCUCCAGCUCGGUUGCCUUGUUCUGCUGUUGUUUGGCUGAGGAUGCAUAGGACGAAGCAUGAAGCCUGCUAACCUAACCUAAAGGCAUCGCCAUUCGUAAGUAAUGAAAAUACAAAUCUAAAGAAAGGUUCCACGCCAUAGACUAAUAAUGUUCCACCAUAAAUUACUUGGCCAUCUGCCAUUUCGAAGUCACAAUGGCAAAAACAUGAGACGAGGUUAUGAUGCAAUCCCCAAAAGUAGCUCCAAGACGGCGGGGUUAUCAGAUAAA